rnacentral:rRNA from 1 species
GUACUCAGUUCGGAUUGAAGGCUGAAAUUCGCCUUCAUGAAGUCGGAAUUGCUAGUAAUGGCAGGUCAGCAUACUGCCGUGAAUACGUUCCCGGGCCUUGUACACACCGCCCGUCACACCAUGAGAGUUGGGAAUACCCGAAGCCUGUGAGCUAACUUUUAGAGGCAGCAGUCGAAGGUAGAAUCAAUGAUUGGGGUGAAGUCGUAACAAGGUAAC